GAUGAAGAACGUAGCGAAAUGCGAUAAGUAAUGUGAAUUUCAGAAUUCAGUGAAUCAUCGAAUCUUUGAACGCACAUUGCGCCCAUUAGUAUUCUAGUGGGCAUGCCUGUUCGAGCGUCAUUAAUUCCACUUAAGCCCUGCUUAGUGUUGGGAAUCUACUCUAGUGGUGCUACCCUGGAGCUACCCCUGAAAGGGGGCUGGCCCGGUAGCUACCCUGUAGUUCCUCAAAGAUAGUGCGCGGAGUUGCGUGGUCCUCUGAGCUUAGUAACUAUACACCUAGCUUUUGAGUGUCCCGCGGCGCCUGCCGUUUAAACCCCAUCUUUUAAUGGUUGACCUCGGAUCAGGUAGGAAUACCCGCUGAACUUAAGCAUAUCAAUAAGCGGAGGA
rnacentral:misc_RNA from 1 species